AUACUGUUCCCCAAGAAGGCACACUUUGCAUAUGUAGAUAAACCGAGUGGGCUAAAAGAAGGUAGAAGGCAUCAAGUAUUCAUACACAAGCAAUUUCUUUUACAUUUCCCAGCGAUUUUUACCGCUUUACACUUCUUACCUCGAAUUUCCUAAAAAUCUCAUAAAUCUUUGUAAAACGAUUCCUUCCGUGCAUCACUAAUUCAUUUAGCAGAUUUGGACAAUACGCUAUUCUACAUUUAGCCAUACAAAAGCAUACAAAUUGGCAAGCCCCACAGGUGCAAAAAUCCGGGGGCUAAGACUGUGACGAAAAUCCGAUAGUUUUCAGUGGUAGGAAGAAAAUUUUCAUAAAAUCCCCUUCAUAUCGUUAUUAAGAGAAAUCGCAAACUGCCGAGAUCACAAUGAUGUUAAGUUGCCUCUCAUGAAAUUGGUAAAACGCUUGGAAAAAUUAUUUGGAACGUCCGUUUAAGCAUGUUAUGAUGGAUGCUUAAAUUUAGUCAAAAAACAGACAGGGACAAGGGACUAGCUAUCUUUGACAGAAUAUAGAGUUCUCAAUUGUUAAAAGUUAAAUCGAUUUUAGAUUUGCACGCACCAACGAUGUUGUGAAUGCUGGUUACAUCCAACUUGUAAAUAUGUAGUGCACCAACUUAAAUAAAUUUGAAUUGGAUUUGACGAAGGAAGCAAUCAAAAGGCAGAAUAUCCAAGAACGCUAGAAACAUUUAUUUCUAUUGAACUGCCAGAUAUGUCAAUAAAAAAUGUAUGGCACGAAGGAUCAAUGAUUGAAUGAAUCAUACACUUGUUCAUAAAAAGCAACAUUUCUCGCCAGUAUCGCAUUUAAAGGAAACUUUGUUCAUAAACAAAUAAGAAAAAGAAAGAAAAAAAAUAAAAAAUAAAAAUAUUAUUUGAUAUUAGGAGAAUGAAAAAAAGUUUAAAGAAUUAACUUAUCGCUGCCAAAUGUAUCUACUGAGUACCACUCCGAUAUACAUUCGAAGCUAAAUACUCCCGUAUACAUAAACCGCUAGAUUUUUAAAAAAAGUGAAUCUGAGAGAAAUUUGUGCCUAGUUUUAUUUUAAAUACCUUAAUUUCUAGUUUUCUUUGAAC